rnacentral:lncRNA from 1 species
GUUGGUUAAAACUAUAAGGCGGGCAAUCUAAAGUAUUUCACACAUAAUAAAAGAAGAACAGCUUAAGCAUGAGAGCAGAACAAGAACUUCAUUAAAAGAAAAGCACAUUACAGCACGUUACAAAGGCCUACACUACGGGAUGAAAGACUAUCCUUAAAGAAUUUACAUAUCCAGAUACUUCCUCAUCUACGACUAUCACCUACCCUACUAUUCUAGUCUUCAGCUCGGAGGACUUCUCGUAGCUCGGAAUGAGAGUUUUUUAGAAAAGGCCAAGAUCUGUCUCGCUAUUACAGGGGAACUGAACAAGUUGAUUCCCAUAAGCAUUUCUCACUGUUCCCCUGGGCGAACGUCCGGUUACCCAAAUGUGAUGCACGGUACAUUCGAACAAGCUCAGAUAUGGUAUGCCGGCC